rnacentral:rRNA from 1 species
GUUUCUGUAGGUGACCUACGGAAGGAUCAUUA